CUACGGGGGGCAGCAGUGGGGAAUAUUGGACAAUGGGGGAAACCCUGAUCCAGCAGUGCCGCGUGUGUGAAGAAGGCCUGCGGGUUGUAAAGCACUUUCGGUUGGGAGGACUGCUUCUAGCACUAAUAUUGUUGGAAGUUGACGUUACCUUCAGAAGAAGCACCGGAUAACUCCGUGCCAGCAGCCUCGGUAAUACGGCGGGUGCAAGCGUUAAUCGGAAUUACUGGGCGUAAAGCGCGCGUAGGCGGCUAGAUCAGUCGGGUGUGAAAGCCACGGGCUUAACCUGGGAACUGCAUCCGAUACUGUCGAGCUUUAGUACAGGAGAGGAGAGUGGAAUUCCACAUGUAGCGGUGAAAUGCGUAGAUAUGUGGAGGAACACCAAUGGCGAAGGCAGCUCUCUGGCCUGAUACUGACGCUGAGGUGCGAAAGCGUGGGGAGCAAACAGGAUUAGAUACCCGUGUAGUC
rnacentral:rRNA from 1 species